rnacentral:rRNA from 1 species
AUGGACGAAAGUCUGACCGAGCAACGCCGCGUGAGUGAAGAAGGUUUUCGGAUCGUAAAGCUCUGUUGUAAGUCAAGAACGUGUGUGAGAGUGGAAAGUUCACACAGUGACGGUAGCUUACCAGAAAGGGACGGCUAACUACGUGCCAGCAGCCGCGGUAAUACGUAGGUCCCGAGCGUUGUCCGGAUUUAUUGGGCGUAAAGGGAGCGCAGGCGGUCAGGAAAGUCUGGAGUAAAAGGCUAUGGCUCAACCAUAGUGUGCUCUGGAAACUGUCUGACUUGAGUGCAGAAGGGGAGAGUGGAAUUCCAUGUGUAGCGGUGAAAUGCGUAGAUAUAUGGAGGAACACCAGUGGCGAAAGCGGCUCUCUGGUCUGUCACUGACGCUGAGGCUCGAAAGCGUGGGUAGCGAACAGGAUUAGAUACCCUGGUAGUCCACGCCGUAAACGAUGAGUGCUAGGUGUUAGGCCCUUUCCGGGGCUUAGUGCCGGAGCUAACGCAAUAAGCACCCCGCCUGGGGAGUACGACCGCAAGGUUGAAACUCAAAGGAAUUGACGGGGGCCCGCACAAGCGGUGGAGCAUGUGGUUUAAUUCGAAGCAACGCGAAGAACCUUACCAGGUCUUGACAUCCCGAUGCUAUUCUUAGAGAUAGGAAGUUACUUCGGUACGUCGGAGACAGGUGGUGCAUGGUUGUCGUCAGCUCGUGUCGUGAGAUGUUGG